rnacentral:misc_RNA from 1 species
GAUGAAGAACGUAGCGAAAUGCGAUAAGUAAUGUGAAUUGCAGAAUUCAGUGAAUCAUCGAAUCUUUGAACGCACAUUGCGCCCGCCAGUAUUCUGGCGGGCAUGCCUGUCCGAGCGUCAUUUCAACCCUCGAACCCCUCCGGGGGGUCGGCGUUGGGGAUCGGCCCUUUACGGGGCCGGCCCCGAAAUACAGUGGCGGUCUCGCCGCAGCCUCUCCUGCGCAGUAGUUUGCACACUCGCAUCGGGAGCGCGGCGCGUCCACAGCCGUUAAACACCCCAAACUUCUGAAAUGUUGACCUCGGAUCAGGUAGGAAUACCCGCUGAACUUAAGCAUAUCGAUAAGCGGAGGA